rnacentral:rRNA from 1 species
GUGGGGAAUCUUAGACAAUGGGCGCAAGCCUGAUCUAGCCAUGCUGCGUGAGCGAUGAAGGCCUUAGGGUUGUAAAGCUCUUUCAGUGGGGAAGAUAAUGACUGUACCCACAGAAGAAGCCCCGGCUAACUCCGUGCCAGCAGCCGCGGUAAUACGGAGGGGGCUAGCGUUGUUCGGAAUUACUGGGCGUAAAGCGCACGUAGGCGGACUGGAAAGUCAGGGGUGAAAUCCCGGGGCUCAACCCCGGAACUGCCUUUGCAACUCCCAGUCUUGAGGUCGAGAGAGGUGAGUGGAAUUCCGAGUGUAGAGGUGAAAUUCGUAGAUAUUCGGAGGAACACCAGGGGCGAAGGCGGCUCACUGGCUCGAUACUGACGCUGAGGUGCGAAAGCGUGGGGAGCAAACAGGAUUAGAUACCCGUGUAGUCC